ensembl:lncRNA
GGACUAAACAGGGACUAAACCGGGACUAAACCAGGACUAAACCAGGACUAAACCAGGACUGAACCAGGACUAAAUCAGGACUAAACCAGGACUAAACCAGGACUAAACCAGGACUGAACCAGGACUAAACCAGGACUAAACCAGGACUAAAUCAGGACUAAACCAGGACUAAAUGAGGACUGAACCAGGACUAAACCAGGACUAAACCAGGACUGAACCAGGACUAAAUCAGGACUAAACCAGGACUGAACCAGGACUAAAUCAGGACUAAACCAGAACUAAACCAGGA